GUGCUUACUUCAGCAGCACAUGUACUAAAAUUGGAAUGAUACAGAGAUCAGCAGGGCCCCUUCACAAGAAUGACAUGCAAAUUUGUGAAGCAUUCCAUAUUUUU
rnacentral:snRNA from 1 species